UACGGAGGGUGCAAGCGUUAAUCGGAAUUACUGGGCGUAAAGCGUGCGCAGGCGGCGUUGUAAGACAGGUGUGAAAUCCCCGGGCUCAACCUGGGAACUGCAUGUGUGACUGCAUCGCUGGAGUGCGGCAGAGGGGGAUGGAAUUCCGCGUGUAGCAGUGAAAUGCGUAGAUAUGCGGAGGAACACCGAUGGCGAAGGCAAUCCCCUGGGCCUGCACUGACGCUCAUGCACGAAAGCGUGGGGAGCAAACAGG
rnacentral:rRNA from 1 species